UAUGGGGUAUUGUGAUGUCGUUAUAUAGGGUAUUGUGAUGUCAUUAUGGGGUAUUGUGAUGUCAUUAUGGGGUAUUGUGAUGUCAUUAUGGGGUCUUGUGAUGUCAUUAUGGGGUAUUGUGAUGUCAUUAUGGGGUCUUGUGAUGUCAUUAUGGGGUAUUGUGAUGUCGUUAUAGGGUAUUGUGAUGUCAUUAUGGGGUAUUGUGAUGUCGUUAUAGGGUAUUGUGAUGUCAUUAUGGGUUAUUGUGAUGUCGUUAUAUAGGGUAUUGUGAUGUCAUUAUGGGGUAUUGUGAUGUCAUUAUGGGGUAUUGUGAUGUCAUUAUGGGGUAUUGUGAUGUCGUUAUAGGGUAUUGUGAUGUCAUUAUGGGGUAUUGUGACGUCGUUAUAUAGGGUAUUGUGAUAUCAUUAUAGGGUAUUGUGAUGUCGUUAUAUAGGGUAUUGUGAUGUCAUUAUGGGGUAUUGUGAUGUCGUUAUAGGGUAUUGUGAUGUCAUUAUAGGGUAUUGUGAUGUCGUUAUAUAGGGUAUUGUGAUGUCAUCAUGGGGUAUUGUGAUGUCGUUAUGUGGUAUUGUGAUGUCAUUAUGGGGUCUUGUGAUGUCGUUAUGGGGUAUUGUGAUGUCAUUAUGGGGUAUUGUGAUGUCAUUAUGGGGUCUUGUGAUGUCAUUAUGGGGUAUUGUGAUGUCAUUAUGGGGUAUUGUGAUGUCGUUAUAUAGGGUAUUGUGAUGUCAUUAUGGGGUAUUGUGAUGUCGUUAUAGGGUAUUGUGAUGUCAUUAUGGGGUAUUGUGAUGUCGUUAUAUAGGGUAUUGUGAUGUCAUUAUGGGGUAUUGUGAUGUCAUUAUGGGGUAUUGUGAUGUCGUUAUAUAGGGUAUUGUGAUGUCAUUAUGGGGUAUUGUGAUGUUGUUAUAGGGUAUUGUGAUGUCAUUAUGGGGUAUUGUGAUGUCGUUAUAUAGGGUAUUGUGAUGUCAUUAUGGGGUAUUGUGAUGUCGUUAUAUAGGGUAUUGUGAUGUCAUUAUGGGGUAUUGUGAUGUCGUUAUAGGGUAUUGUGAUGUCAUUAUGGGGUAUUGUGAUGUCGUUAUAUAGGGUCUUGUGAUGUCAUUAUGGGGUAUUGUGAUGUCAUUAUGGGGUAUUGUGAUGUCGUUAUAGGGUAUUGUGAUGUCAUUAUGGGGUAUUGUGAUGUCGUUAUAUAGGGUCUUGUGAUGUCAUUAUGGGGUAUUGUGAUGUCAUUAUGGGGUAUUGUGAUGUCGUUAUAGGGUAUUGUGAUGUCAUUAUGGGGUAUUGUGAUGUCGUUAUAUAGGGUAUUGUGAUGUCGUUAUAUAGGGUAUUGUGAUGUCAUUAUAGGGUAUUGUGAUGUCGUUAUAUAGGGUAUUGUGAUGUCAUUAUGGGGUCUUGUGAUGUCGUUAUGUGGUCUUGUGAUGUCAUUAUGGGGUAUUGUGAUGUCAUUAUGGGGUAUUGUGAUGUCGUUAUAGGGUAUUGUGAUGUCAUUAUGGGGUAUUGUGAUGUCGUUAUAUAGGGUAUUGUGAUGUCGUUAUAUAGGGUAUUGUGAUGUCAUUAUAGGGUAUUGUGAUGUCGUUAUAUAGGGUAUUGUGAUGUCAUUAUGGGGUCUUGUGAUGUCGUUAUGUGGUCUUGUGAUGUCAUUAUGGGGUAUUGUGAUGUCAUUAUGGGGUAUUGUGAUGUCGUUAUAGGGUAUUGUGAUGUCAUUAUGGGGUAUUGUGAUGUCGUUAUAUAGGGUCUUGUGAUGUCAUUAUGGGGUAUUGUGAUGUCAUUAUGGGGUAUUGUGAUGUCGUUAUAGGGUAUUGUGAUGUCAUUAUGGGGUAUUGUGAUGUCGUUAUAUAGGGUAUUGUGAUGUCGUUAUAUAGGGUAUUGUGAUGUCAUUAUAGGGUAUUGUGAUGUCGUUAUAUAGGGUAUUGUGAUGUCAUUAUGGGGUCUUGUGAUGUCGUUAUGUGUUCUUGUGAUGUCAUUAUGGGGUCUUGUGAUGUCAUUAUGGGGUAUUGUGAUGUCGUUAUAGGGUAUUGUGAUGUCAUUAUGGGGUAUUGUGAUGUCGUUAUAUAGGGUAUUGUGAUGUCAUUAUGGGGUAUUGUGAUGUCGUUAUAGGGUAUUGUGAUGUCAUUAUGGGGUAUUGUGAUGUCGUUAUGGGGUAUUGUGAUGUCGUUAUGGGGUAUUGUGAUGUCGUUAUGGGGUAUUGUGAUGUCGUUAUGGGGUAUUGUGAUGUCGUUAUGGGGUAUUGUGAUGUCGUUAUGGGGUAUUGUGAUGUCGUUAUAGGGUAUUGUGAUGUCGUUAUAGGGUAUUGUG